rnacentral:rRNA from 1 species
CACUAUGCCUGACUGUAAACAUCGAUAAUGAUACUACACGCAUUAUCCGCCUGGGAACUACGAGCAUCAGCUUAAAACCCCAAGGACCUGGCGGUGCUUUAGAUCCCCCUAGAGGAGCCUGUCUCUAGAACCGAUAAUCCCCGUUCAACCUCACCCUUCCCUGCAAAUUCUGCCUAUAUACCGCCGUCGCCAGUCCACCCUGUGAAGGAUCUAAAGUAGGCCAAACUGGUAUAGCCCCCAAUGUCAGGUCGAGGUGUAGCGUAAGGAAGGGGAAGCAAUGGGCUACAUUCGCUGACCCAGCGAAUCACGGAAGACAUACUGAAAGACAUGUCUGAAGGUGGAUUUAGAAGUAAGGAGGGAGCAGAGCGCCCCCCUGAACCUGGCUCUGAAGCGCGCACACAUCGCCCGUCACCCUCCCCGAACUAGUCUAUGCCUGUAACUAACAACACGGACGUCACCGAGGGGAGGUAAGUCGUAA